rnacentral:rRNA from 1 species
UACGUAGGGUGCAAGCGUUAAUCGGAAUUACUGGGCGUAAAGCGUGCGCAGGCGGUUUUGUAAGUCUGUCGUGAAAUCCCCCGGGCUCAACCUGGGAAUUGCGAUGGAGACUGCAAGGCUAGAAUCUGGCAGAGGGGGGUAGAAUUCCACGUGUGAGCAGUGAAAUGCGUAGAGAUGUGGAGGAACACCGAUGGCGAAGGCAGCCCCCCUGGGUCAAGAUUGACGCUCAUGCACGAAAGCGUGGGGAGCAAACAGG